GACGAACGCUGGCGGCGUGCUUAACACAUGCAAGUCGAACGGAAAGGCCCUGCUUUUGUGGGGUGCUCGAGUGGCGAACGCGUGAGUAACACGUGAGUAACCUGCCCUUGACUUUGGGGUAACUUCAGGAGACUGGGGCUAACACCGGAUAGGAGCUCCUGCUGCAUGGUGGGGGUUGGAAAGUUUCGGCGGUUGGGGAUGGACUCGCGGCUUAUCAGCUUGUUGGUGGGGUAGUGGCUUACCCAGGCUUUGACGGGUAGCCGGCCUGAGAGGGUGACCGGCCACAAUGGGACUGAGGGAGGGCCCAGAGUCCAACGGGAGGCAGCAGGGGAGAAUAUUGCACAAUGGGCGGAAGCCUGAUGCAGCAACGCCGCGUGCGGGAUGACGGCCUUCGGGGUGGAAACCGCUUUCGCCUGUGACGAAGCGUGAGUGACGGUAAUGGGUAAAGAAGCACCGGCUAACUACGUG
rnacentral:rRNA from 1 species